CAUAUGCAUUGAAAACUACAACUGAACUAAUUUUGAAGAGGUACGUUACAAUAGCUCUAUUUUCCUGAUCAACAUGACAUCAAAGGCAUUGUGCAUCUUUUUAUUGGGCGUCGUCGCUCUGAAUGUUCUCCUACCGGAGAACACAUUAACUGCAAACGCAGCAGUUGACUGUGCCUCACCGGACGCAGCAUAUUGCAUGGGUUAUAAGUCAGUUUGUAAUGAUCCAACAUUCGCAUCCAUGACACAAAAUUGUCCACACGCCUGUGGAAAGUGCACCACUGGAUAAUAAAGUUUAAUGGGAUGCAAUCACCAGCUAUUGAGUUUUGCAGAAAAUACUUAGACUUAUAGAUUAGAAUAAGAUAAUCUACGU